rnacentral:rRNA from 1 species
UUGACCUCAAAUCAGGUGGGACUACCCGCCGAACUUAAGCAUAUCAAUAAGCGGAGGAAAAGAAACUAACAAGGAUUCCCCUAGUAACUGCGAGUGAAGCGGGAAGAGCUCAAAUUUAAAAUCUGGCGGCCUCGCCGUCCGAGUUGUAAUUUAGAGAAGCGUUUUCCGUGCCGGACCGUGUACAAGUCUCCUGGAACGGAGCGUCACAGAGGGUGAGAAUCCCGUCUUUGACACGGACGCCCGGUGCGAUGUGAUACGCUCUCGAAGAGUCGAGUUGUUUGGGAAUGCAGCUCAAAAUGGGUGGUGAACUCCAUCUAAAGCUAAAUAUUGGCGAGAGACCGAUAGCGAACAAGUACCGUGAGGGAAAGAUGAAAAGCACUUUGGAAAGAGAGUGAAACAGUACGUGAAAUUGCUGAAAGGGAAACGCUUGAAGUCAGUCGCGUCCGUCGGGAUUCAGCCUUUUGGUGUACUUUCCGACGGACGGGCCAGCAUCACUUUCGACCGCCGGAGAAGGGCGAGGGGAACGUGGCACCUUCGGGUGUGUUAUAGCCCCUUGUCGGAUGCGGCGAUCGGGAGUGAGGACCGCCUAUCGUUGUGGGAUGCUGGCGUAAUGGCUUUAAACGACCCGUCUUGAAACACGGACCAAGGAGUCUAACAUGCCCGCGAGUGUUCGGGUGGAAAACC